UAACACAUCUCUCAUAGCUGCACUAUGUCAUGCUCCCUAAGUUUGAAAACAUAUUUUAUAACUCAUUCAAAUGAUUAUCUCCAUUAAUGAAUUGCAUUUCAAGUUUGAAAUGCAAAGGAAUAAAGGCAAGCACAGUGCAAAACCACGGCAACUCCUUCAAGCCUGGAAAACCGACCUACUAGCUCGACCUAAAUCAGUGCAAGCCACCAAAACCACCUAGACGUCCCUCCAUCCAUUGCCAUUGCCUGCUUUCUUUUUUUGGUUCCCCUCCCUUUGGUCUGCUAGGGGUACUUUUGUGCUCCUAUUUCAUUGUAAUUUUAUGGUGGGGGGCUGGAUGGUGGGUGUAUCCCGGGGAAGCAGAGGGUAUCUGAAGCUAAGUACCUCCAAGCCUAAGUUUGUGCAUGAAAUUUGGCUCAAACCUUUCAAAUCAUGGCAGCUAUAGGAUAGAAAUUUUUUGAACUCAGAAUCACACCAGAAACAAGUGCCUUCAUGCAUAAAUUGGACACAUCGAAAUUUGCCCACAAAAGGUAAUUGAGAUACUGAAUACUGAAUGCAAAUAAUCAGAAUUGUCACCCAAGAGCCUUCAUGCAUAAAUUGAGAAACAAGUGCCUUCAUGCAUAAAUUGAACACAUCAAAAUUUGCCCACAAAAGGUAAUUGAGAUACUGAAUACUGAAUGCAAAUCAUCAAAAUUGUCACCCAAGAGCAGAUAAGACCACGAAAAAUUUAUUCGGCUACAAUGCUGUAUAAUCCUCCCGUUGCCAUGCGCAUUUUAUCAUGGAAUAGGUCAUGAUAUUCAGGGAAAACAGGUGAUUAUGUAAAAUUUAUGAGUGCACUUACAUAUGGUUUAGUUUGAUUUGCUCAAGUGAUACCUGCCAAUGACAAGAGGGGGGACUAAAACCAAAGGGAUGACAUUAUACAUGCAAGAAGCUAGUAAGAGAGAGCGAACGAGCAGUUAAUCAAACAAAGUAGCAAUAUAGCGGCAACGAAAUUAGCAUGCAUUGUCGGAUGGACAAGAAUGCAAAUGGAUCAUGAGAGGGUCCUUCCCUUAUCUCCUUGAAAAUCUUUACAAAGGUCUCUUGACAGGCCCCAAGAUCAGCUCAACAAAUUAAGCACCCUUUUCUACUCCCGAACAUUCAGAACACAUCACACACUCGCUAGAUGAUUGGAGUGCGUACAAUCACUAGUCACCUGCCUCAUCAUAUGUCUACAGUAGAGCUGAUCACGGGGCUACUGGCCCGCCCAGCCCUUUGAAAAAACUCGAGUUGCCUAUCAUCAUUAUUCGUUAAGAGCCGAGGAUUCCUAGUGCAACAAAGGGAGAUCUUUUGUCAAGGAUAAGUUUUGAUUUAUGAAUUCACCGUCGAGAUCUGGGGAAGGGAAGGUUUCCCCAG
rnacentral:lncRNA from 1 species